AUGCUAGUUGACGGCGGGGCCGGCUUGAAUCUGAUCUCCUCCGCUGUCCUCCAGAAACUUCAGAUCCCUGACAGCGAGCUCGAGGAGACCGGCACAUUCCAAGGAAUCAGCCCGGGAAGAAGCAAGCCAAAGGGAAAGAUCACGCUGCCGGUCACAUUUGGCAGUGAGCUGAACUUCAGGACUGAGAGGGUCAUGUUUGACGUUGCUGAUUUUCCAUUGCCCUACAAUGGGAUCCUUGGCCGUCCAGCGCUCGCCAAGUUUAUGGCAGCCUCUCACUAUGCAUACAACAUGCUCAAGAUGCCAGGCCCGAUAAGUGUCAUCUCUGUCCCCGGCGACAAGAAGGAUGCCCUUAUCUGCGCUGACAAGAUCUACCGGGAAGCAGCAGCCGCAGCUGAUCACAACACACUU
rnacentral:rRNA from 1 species